rnacentral:rRNA from 1 species
AUUGAACGCUGGCGGCAGGCCUAACACAUGCAAGUCGAACGAGUGGCGGACGGAUGAGUAAUGUCUGGGAUACUGCCCGAUGGAGGGGGAUAACUACUGGAACCGGUAGCUAAUACCGACUACCCUCGGAUGUUCCCAGAUGGGCUUAGCUUGUAGGUGAGGUAACGGCUCACCUAGGAGACGAGCCCUAGCUGGUCUGAGAGGAUGACCAGCCACACUGGAACUGAGACACGGUACAGACUCCUACGUGAGGCAGCAGUGGGGAAUAUUGCACAAUGGGCGCAAGCCUGAUGCAGCCAUGCCGGGUGUAUGAAGAAGGCCUUCGGGUUGUAAAGUACUUUCAGCGGGGAGGCGUUACCCGCAGAAGAAGCACCGGCUAACUCCGUGCCAGCAGCCGCGGUAAUA